rnacentral:rRNA from 1 species
GUCUACGGCCAUGAUACCCUGAACAAGCCUGAUUCCGUCUGAUCUCAGAAGCUAAGGAGGGUUGGGCCUGGUUAAUACUUGGAUGGGAGACCACCUAGGAAGACCAGGUACUGUGGGCA